rnacentral:lncRNA from 1 species
GGGGAGGAGGAUGCCCAGCCUCCUGCUCUACAAGUGGCAGUUCCUAUUCCGGCAAAAGGCGAGUUUCCACCUGAUGUUAACCCUGUAGAGCCAGUGAGACAGCUGCACAAAUUGGACCUAAUGCUGCAGGCCUUUGAGCUGUUGCAGACUUCAGUGCUGCUAGCCCCCAGCCAUGAGGAGGGUUGUCUGGGGGAUACAAUCAGGACAGUAGGAUCUCUGAUGUGCAUCCAGCCCCCAAACGGACAAAAGGACACCUCCUCUGGGUCUGCGGUCUGGGGAUCAGGACAGCAUCUGGCCCCCUCAAAGACGAGGCGAGGCAGCUUGCAUGAAGCGAAGAUCCCCCGUGAAGCUUCACGCUGCCUCCUGCGCCAGGGAUGCUGCUCUCGGCUCUGA